CACUUUUUGACGAUUCAACCUUCGGUCAGUUUCAUGGCGAUGUGUGUCCAGCAGGACACUUCUGUCAAAGAGGGAGUGUCAAACCAAGCCCGUGUCCUCCAGGCACUCUCUUUGGGAGUAUUGGAGCUCAGGCUAAAGAUGACUGUGAAGCCUGUUACCCUGGUUUUUACUGCCCCGCAUGGGCUCAGACAUCUGCUGACCUGCUCUGCCCCCCAGGGUGGUUCUGUCCAGCAAGAUCAACGUCUGGACAACAGCCAGGACACCAGUGCCCCCCAGGCUACGCGUGCCCAAGAGGCAGUUCUGAGCCAAUCAUCUGUAGUCCUGGUGCAUAUCAAUCUGAAUCUAGAGCGUCUACAUGUAGAGAUUGCCCACCAGGAUUUUACUGUAUUAAGGGCUCGUCCACACCAUUUCCAUGUCCAGUAG
rnacentral:lncRNA from 1 species